UAAGGAAUAUUGGUCAAUGGACGCAAGUCUGAACCAGCCAUGCCGCGUGAAGGAUGAAGGUCCUCUGGAUUGUAAACUUCUUUUAUCUGGGACGAAAACGGGAUUUUUAUCUCAAUUGACGGUACCAGAGGAAUAAGCACCGGCUAACUCCGUGCCAGCAGCCGCGGUAAUACGGAGGGUGCGAGCGUUAUCCGGAUUUACUGGGUUUAAAGGGUGCGUAGGUGGGCUUAUAAGUCAGUGGUGAAAUCUCCGAGCUUAACUUGGAAACUGCCGUUGAUACUAUAGGUCUUGAAUUAUCUGGAGGUCAGCGGAAUAUGGCAUGUGGCGGUGAAAUGCUUAGAUAUGACAUAGAACACCAAUUGCGAAGGCAGCUUACUACAUAUAAAUUGACGCUGAGGCACGAAAGCGUGGGGAUCAAACA
rnacentral:rRNA from 1 species